UGUGUAGAGGCGUGAAAGGUGC
rnacentral:miRNA from 1 species